rnacentral:ribozyme from 1 species
UGCCCAGCAAAUCCUAUCCCUACUUCCUCGUAGUACUGGCUGGGGUACAAGUAACCUUAGGGAAGA